GGCUGGGGGCGGCACAUCUGUUAAAUGAUAACGCAGGUGUCCAAAGAUGAGCUCAAUGAGAACAGAAAUCUCAUGUAGAACAAAAGGGUAAAAGCUCAUUUGAUUUUGAUUUUCAGUAGUAAUUCAAACCGUGAAAGCGUGGCCUAUCGAUCCUUUAGAUUUUUUAUUAUAGAUUUUAAGCUAGAGGUGUCAGAAAAGUUACCACAGGGAUAACUGGCUUGUGGCUGCCAAGCGUUCAUAGCGACGUAGCUUUUUGAUCCUUCGAUGUCGGCUCUUCCUAUCAUUGCGAAGCAGAAUUCGCCAAGUGUUGGAUUGUUCACCCACUAAUAGGGAACGUGAGCUGGGUUAGACCGUCGUGAGACAGGUUAGUUUUUACCCUACUGAUGAUUAACACACCACCCAUUGUUACAAUAGUAAUGCAACUCAGUACGAG
rnacentral:rRNA from 1 species